UGAGGAAUAUUGGUCAAUGGGCGAGAGCCUGAACCAGCCAAGUCGCGUGAAGGAAGACAGUCCUAAGGAUUGUAAACUUCUUUUAUACGGGAAUAACGGGCGAUACGAGUAUUGCAUUGAAUGUACCGUAAGAAUAAGCAUCGGCUAACUCCGUUCCAGCAGCCGCGGUAAUACGGAGGAUGCGAGCGUUAUCCGGAUUUAUUGGGUUUAAAGGGUGCGUAGGUUGUUCGGUAAGUCAGCGGUGAAACCUGAGCGUUCAACGUUCGACCUGCCGUUGAAACUGCCGGGCUUGAGUUCAGUGGCGGCAGGCGGAAUUCGUGGUGUAGCGGUGAAAUGCAUAGAUAUCACGAGGAACUCCGAUUGCGAAGGCAGCUUUACACACUGCGACUGACACUGAAGCACGAAGGCGUGGGUAUCAAACAGG
rnacentral:rRNA from 1 species